rnacentral:lncRNA from 1 species
AUGGCCGGCUGCUGCUGCCUGUCAGCGGAGGAGAAGGAGUCGCAGCGCAUCAGCGCCGAGAUCGAGCGGCAGCUUCGCCGGGACAAAAAGGACGCGCGCCGCGAGCUCAAGUUGCUGCUGCUGGGAACUGGUGAAAGUGGCAAAAGCACCUUUAUCAAGCAGAUGAGAAUCAUCCAUGGGUCUGGCUACAGCGACGAAGACAGAAAGGGGUUCACGAAGCUGGUUUACCAAAACAUAUUCACUGCCGUGCAAGCCCUGAUCAGGGCCAUGGACACCCUGAAGAUACAGUACGUGUGUGAGCAGAAUAAGGAAAAUGCCCAGCUAAUCAGAGAAGUGGAAGUAGACAAGGUGACCACGCUCUCCAGGGACCAGGUGGAGGCCAUCAAGCAGCUGUGGCAGGAUCCUGGAAUCCAGGAGUGCUACGAUCGCAGGCGGGAGUACCAACUGUCAGACUCUGCCAAAUAUUACCUGACGGACAUUGACCGGAUCGCCAUGCCAUCAUUCGUGCCAACACAGCAGGAUGUGCUUCGUGUCCGAGUGCCCACCACUGGCAUCAUUGAGUAUCCGUUUGACCUGGAAAACAUCAUCUUUCGGAUGGUGGAUGUUGGUGGCCAACGAUCGGAAAGACGGAAAUGGAUUCACUGCUUUGAGAGUGUCACCUCCAUUAUUUUUUUGGUUGCUCUGAGUGAAUAUGACCAGGUGCUGGCUGAGUGUGACAAUGAGAACCGCAUGGAAGAGAGUAAAGCCUUAUUUAAAACUAUCAUCACCUACCCCUGGUUUCUCAACUCAUCAGUGAUUCUGUUCUUAAACAAGAAGGAUCUUUUGGAAGAGAAAAUCAUGUACUCUCAUCUAAUUAGCUAUUUUCCAGAAUACACAAGACCAAAGCAAGACGUCAAAGCUGCCAGAGAUUUCAUCCUGAAGCUUUAUCAAGAUCAGAAUCCUGACAAAGAGAAAGUCAUCUAUUCCCACUUCACAUGUGCUACAGACACAGAGAAUAUCCGCUUUGUGUUUGCUGCUGUGAAAGACACAAUUCUACAACUAAACCUGAGGGAAUUCAACCUGGUUUAA